rnacentral:rRNA from 6 species
GAGACUGCCAGUGAUAAACUGGAGGAAGGUGGGGAUGACGUCAAGUCAUCAUGGCCCUUACGACCAGGGCUACACACGUGCUACAAUGGCGCAUACAAAGAGAAGCGACCUCGCGAGAGCAAGCGGACCUCAUAAAGUGCGUCGUAGUCCGGAUUGGAGUCUGCAACUCGACUCCAUGAAGUCGGAAUCGCUAGUAAUCGUGGAUCAGAAUGCCACGGUGAAUACGUUCCCGGGCCUUGUACACACCGCCCGUCACACCAUGGGAGUGGGUUGCAAAAGAAGUAGGUAGCUUAACCUUCGGGAGGGCGCUUACCACUUUGUGAUUCAUGACUGGGGUGAAGUCGUAACAAGGUAACCGUAGGGGAACCUGC